UACGUAGGGUGCAAGCGUUGUCCGGAAUUAUUGGGCGUAAAGAGCUCGUAGGCGGUUUGUUGCGUCGGCUGUGAAAUCCCGAGGCUCAACCUCGGGUCUGCAGUCGAUACGAGCAAACUAAAGUGUUGCAGGGGAGACUGGAAUUCCUGGUGUAGCGGUGAAAUGCGCAGAUAUCAGGAGGAACACCGGUGGCGAAGGCGGGUCUCUGGGCAACAACUGACGCUGAGGAGCGAAAGCGUGGGGAGCGAACAGG
rnacentral:rRNA from 1 species